rnacentral:rRNA from 1 species
AACGGUAACGCGGGGGCAACCCUGGCGACGAGUGGCGAACGGGUGAGUAAUACAUCGGAACAUAUCCAGUAGCGGGGGAUAACCUAUCGAAAGAUUGGCUAAUACCGCAUACGAUCUACGGAUGAAAGCGGGGGACCGCAAGGCCUCGCACUAUUGGAGUGGCCGAUGUCAGAUUAGCUAGUUGGUGGGGUAAAAGCCUACCAAGGCGACGAUCUGUAGCUGGUCUGAGAGGACGAUCAGCCACACUGGAACUGAGACACGGUCCAGACUCCUACGGGAGGCAGCAGUGGGGAAUUUUGGACAAUGGGCGCAAGCCUGAUCCAGCCAUGCCGCGUGAGUGAAGAAGGCCUUCGGGUUGUAAAGCUCUUUCGGUGAAGACGAAACGGUUAGCGUUAAUAACGCUGACUAAUGACGGUACUCACAGAAGAAGCACCGGCUAACUACGUGCCAGCAGCCGCGGUAAUACGUAGGGUGCAGGCGUUAAUCGGAAUUACUGGGCGUAAAGCGUGCGCAGGCGGUUUGCUAAGACAGGUGUGAAAUCCCCGGGCUUAACCUGGGAAUUGCGCUUGUAACUGGCAAGCUAGAGUGUGGCAGAGGGGGGUGGAAUUCCACGUGUAGCAGUGAAAUGCGUANAUAUGUGGAGGAACACCGAUGGCGAAGGCAGCCCCCUGGGUUAACACUGACGCUCAGGCACGAAAGCGUGGGGAGCCAACAGGAUUAGAUACCCUGGUUGUCCACGCCCUAAACUAUGUCA